UUGAACUGUGACUAAUGGCUGCAUCACAGAGCUGGUUCACCAGGUCGCCUCGACUGUAGCUGCCUCCAAAGAAAAACCCUGUUGUGGAAUGUGCAAGCUGGUGUUUAAUACAUGAGCCCUUCGCAGCAGGUUGAGCAAUCAGAAGCGCUGCCGCUUCCCUGCAUGCCCCGGGAACUGCGGACUGUUCAGGUGCUGUGGGGCUACAAGGACAAUCUGAUCUGCUUCAGCUUCUUCUAUGCUCUUUGCUGGGUCACUUCUUAGGAAGAAGGUAUUUCCUUUCUGCUCUGCUAUGUGUCUGUGUAUCAGUUAGGAGGCUGAGAACAGCUGAGCAUCAGCGAUCUCCUUGUGCUGUGUUCCAUCCUGCGGCUCGUCGCUCCAUCACUGAGAUCCAUAGGCUUCAUUUCAGCUCUUUGGCAAUGCUUCUUCUAACCUUGCUGCAAGAAGUCCUUGUGGCCAAUGCAUCCUCCCUAACGAGGCUGACGGGCUGCUGGCGAAAGGUGCCAGAGGAUGGAAGCUGGCAUGCUGAGGGCUUCUGUCCUGCGGUGCAGGCUGCUGGAUCUGCCUUCCAUUGUGCUACUGAAACAUCAUCAAAGCCAGGAAAUGGGAGUGCCAUUCCAGUGAAAACCUUUGCAGUGCUGCAGCAGAGAGCCUUAAAUUCAAAGCAGUACUUUAAAAAUCAGAACUAGAAGGCGCUGCAUUAGGCCAGUGAAUGAUUCCAGCUUACACUGCCCACACAUUUGGGAAGGCUGCUUCAUCACUUCACUGCUACAUUUGUCACCUGACACCUGAGGACAGGUCACUGGAUCACAGUUCCUUACUGCCCUGCAGCUGGGGAAGGAGUUUGCAGCCCUUCUGCUGAGAAGACAGGGCUGGGUCUGCAGCCAUUAAAAGGAGCAGAAGAAGAUUUCCUCGAAUUCCUGCAUUGCUGUGAGCUGACACAAGGGCACGGCGCUCCACGCAGCAACCACCAGAUGUGCAGUGCAGGUUAUCUCUUCGCUUGUCUAAUCAAGUCUGGAAAAAAUAAUUGUCAUUAAUUCACUGACCUGAACCUGGGCCGAGCUGUUCUGUGCACUGGCUGAAUGUGACAACUAAUCCAACAGAAAUAUGCAUUAUAUUCCCCUACAUUGCCACCUUGAAACGUCCCGGCACUGCCUCCCUGCAGUACUGGUGCUGCCACAGGGACAGGGACACGAGCUGAAGUCUCCAUGAAGUCCUGUAUGGAACAAAGGCCAGAAGGAAGUCAUGAUUUCAGUGUGUCUACUGUACUGGAAGGAAAAACAGAACAAACAGAUCCUCCUUGAAACUCUUCCCACAACCAAACUUUUAAUGUUUUUAUGAGAGAUCUGCACAUGUAUUCACAUUUAUCAGCAUAUGCAAAUCUCCCACUGAAGGGAAGCAGGCUGUGUCAGAGCAGUGGAGGUAGAAGCUGACAGUAGAUCUCUACAGCUGUCAAAACAACGGCCUGGUAGAAUGCAGCCAUCAAAACACGAGUCUUGUGUGCACAUCUCAGACUUGGCUGUUCAAUCUCUUGCACCAGAAGCUCCUAUGGCAAAUGUUUUUGAAACACGGAUGAUCCGAGUGCAUCAGAAAGAAAGCAAUAGCUGUGACAUCUUGGUCUCCAUCCUCAAAAGGCACUGGGAAUUCCAAACAAUCUAGUAAUUGGAAUUCAUAGCUAGUUUCUGUAUGAAAAGUCAGCUGUAGAAAAUAGUGUGUUUGAAAGUAUCCCCUACUCCAUACAUCAGCAUGUAACCCGGAAGCUUUCCUUCCUUGCAGUUCCCUUUGGGUUGCUUUUCCCAGUAAGAGGUCCUACCCCCUUUUUGACCAGAGGCUCUUGUGGUAAAGGGGAGCGCUGUGGGACUUCCAAGCUGGAGUGGAGGGAGAAGCGGGUAGUGAGGCAAUGCUGUGCUAUUGGAAGUUGUGCUGUUGUAAACCAUGGGAACAGCUGACCUGAGGAAUCUGCGAGAAACAAUCCUCUAUCGUCAGACACUGAAUAAUCUAAUGACUUAUUUCAGUUUCUUAAAAAUUGCCUUUUCAUCAGUUGAAAGUUGCAAAUUGCUGGUUUAAUGAGUCCCAAGCAGAGAAAAUAGAAGUAAAAAUAUAUGCAUCUUAUCUAAUAAAUGCUGAGC
rnacentral:lncRNA from 7 species